rnacentral:rRNA from 1 species
UACGAAGGGGGCUAGCGUUGCUCGGAAUUACUGGGCGUAAAGCGCACGUAGGCGGCUUUCUAAGUCGGGGGUGAAAUCCUGGAGCUCAACUCCAGAACUGCCUUCGAUACUGGAAGCAGCUGAGUCCGGGAGAGGUGAGUGGAACUGCGAGUGUAGAGGUGAAAUUCGUAGAUAUUCGCAAGAACACCAGUGGCGAAGGCGGCUCACUGGCCGGUACUGACGCUGAGGUGCGAAAGCGUGGGAGCAAACAG